CUUGUACGAAGGACUAGCUGUGAACUAGCCUAGUUUACAGACACUUCUGCGCGCGAGUAUGCGUCGAAUGUGGGUGCAUGACUAAUGGAAGUAUGUGAUUAAAACUUUCGUCGCAAUUUCUAGCACGUAAAACUUCCACCAGCCAAAGCGUAGGAAAAUUUAAGCGCGUUUGUAUAUAUACACACUCUGUUCCAGGGAAUUGUGUUCGACGUUUCUGCGACACAGGCAUCCGUGUGUCCCUCGCUGGAAAUAUUUCACGCACCUCGAGAC
rnacentral:misc_RNA from 1 species